rnacentral:rRNA from 1 species
UGGAUUAGUGGCGAACGGGUGAGUAACACGUGGGCAAUCUGCCCUUCACUCUGGGACAAGCCCUGGAAACGGGGUCUAAUACCGGAUAACACCGGCUUCCGCAUGGGAGCUGGUUGAAAGCUCCGGCGGUGAAGGAUGAGCCCGCGGCCUAUCAGCUUGUUGGUGGGGUAAUGGCCUACCAAGGCGACGACGGGUAGCCGGCCUGAGAGGGCGACCGGCCACACUGGGACUGAGACACGGCCCAGACUCCUACGGGAGGCAGCAGUGGGGAAUAUUGCACAAUGGGCGAAAGCCUGAUGCAGCGACGCCGCGUGAGGGAUGACGGCCUUCGGGUUGUAAACCUCUUUCAGCAGGGAAGAAGCGAAAGUGACGGUACCUGCAGAAGAAGCGCCGGCUAACUACGUGCCAGCAGCCGCGGUAAUACGUAGGGCGCAAGCGUUGUCCGGAAUUAUUGGGCGUAAAGAGCUCGUAGGCGGCUUGUCACGUCGGGUGUGAAAGCCCGGGGCUUAACCCCGGGUCUGCAUCCGAUACGGGCAGGCUAGAGUGUGGUAGGGGAGAUCGGAAUUCCUGGUGUAGCGGUGAAAUGCGCAGAUAUCAGGAGGAACACCGGUGGCGAAGGCGGAUCUCUGGGCCAUUACUGACGCUGAGGAGCGAAAGCGUGGGGAGCGAACA